UACGGGGGGAGCAAGCGUUGUUCGGAUUUACUGGGCGUAAAGGGCGCGUAGGCGGUCAGCACAAGUCAGUUGUGAAAUCUCCGGGCUUAACUCGGAAAGGUCAACUGAUACUGUGCGACUAGAGUGCGGAAGGGGCAACUGGAAUUCUCGGUGUAGCGGUGAAAUGCGUAGAUAUCGGGAGGAACACCAGCGGCGAAGGCGGCACUCUGGGCUGGUACUGACGCUGAGGAGCGAAAGCGUGGGUAGCAAACAGG
rnacentral:rRNA from 1 species